rnacentral:rRNA from 1 species
CAGCCGCCACGGUAAUACGGAGGGGGCUAGCGUUGUUCGGAAUUACUGGGCGUAAAGGGCGCGUAGGCGGCCAUUCAAGUUAGAUGUGAAAGCCCUGGGCUCAACCUAGGAAUUGCAUUUGAUACUGUUUGGCUUGAGUUCGGGAGAGGUGAGUGGAACUCCCAGUGUAGAGGUGAAAUUCGUAGAUAUUGGGAAGAACACCAGUGGCGAAGGCGGCUCACUGGACCGACACUGACGCUGAGGCGCGAAAGCGUGGGGAGCAAACAGGAUUAGAUACCCCCGUAGUCCCUGUCUCUUAUAC